UACAGAGGGGGCAAGCGUUGUUCGGAAUUACUGGGCGUAAAGGGUGCGUAGGCGGGUCUUUAAGUCAGGGGUGAAAUCCUGGAGCUCAACUCCAGAACUGCCUUUGAUACUGAGGAUCUUGAGUUCGGGAGAGGUGAGUGGAACUGCGAGUGUAGAGGUGAAAUUCGUAGAUAUUCGCAAGAACACCAGUGGCGAAGGCGGCUCACUGGCCCGAUACUGACGCUGAGGUGCGAAAGCGUGGGGAGCAAACAGG
rnacentral:rRNA from 1 species